UCAAGGCUGAGGGUAGCAGCUGUGUAUUUCAGCUACACGAGUGAAGUUCAGCAUCGAUUUAAACUUUCUUUUGGAGCAGUAGGACAUGGCAGACAGAGGCCAUGUUGGAGCAGAGAGAGAAGCAGAGGACACAGAUGAGCUUCUUUACACAGAUCUCAAUGACAACAGCAGUGUGUCUGGACUGGACUCUCCUCCGCUCAAACUGGAUCACUGUGACCUUCUAUUAGAUGCUAUUGAUGCUCAGCUUGGUCAGCUGCAGGUCCAGCCCCAGGAACGUAAGGUGUUUUCCAGAGAGCGCCACUGCAGUGAUGCAGCUCCUCUCAGUUGGAGUCAAUCUCUGAGCAAAGACACAGGGCUCGGGAGCACAACUCAAACAAACAACACUCCCAUGUCUUGUCUUGAGUUGAUACACACUCCGACAAUGGAGCAAACAUCAGAGAGAAGCACAGGCAGCCGGGGAGGUCCUGUCACUCACAAGGGCACCAACCAGAAAUUAGACAGAAGACCAAGAGACAAAGAGGAAAUAGAUUCUCAGCGGGAGCAGAUUAUCUGGAGACUCGAGAGGCUGCUUGGAGACACCUGUAACGAGGGAAGGAUGCCAGGAGAAACUCACCCUCCUUCAGACAGCAUCUGCACUGAAGACUUUGUCAGAUGCUUCAGAGACGAGAUGGUGGAAUUGGCAUUGCCAGAGAAUAAUAUGCAGCCACUACACAAAGAGGACGUGACUGAGAGUACAGAGAUAUCUGACUGCAACACUUGCCAGAGUGCACAAAAUGGACCCAGUAUUCCUAAUGUGGACAGAGGGGGAUCAGCAACAACUAGGAAAUUCAAUAAAGACACAGGGAAUGCUCACUAUUGUCAAAGACAGGAACUGGAGAAAUGUCUCUAUGACAGCCAUGGAGUAAAUACAUCAUGUAGCGAGAGAGCAGGAGAGAGAUACAGCACACCACAGAAGUCUGAUGACGACAGCAGCAUCUUUCACAGAACAGAGGUUGUAACAGAACAUGAAACUCUGCAGCAGAACAACAGCCAUUCUCCUAAGGCCAGGUGCUUGGCAGGAGUACCUGUGCGGAGUUUUGACACUGUGUCCAUUGACAGUGACCUCGACUCAGUCUGCACAGAGCAGGUCAGGCAGUAUAUUCACAGGCGGCCAGGAUGGCGCUCUCUCAUUCAGUCUGUCACAGGCAUGGAUGACGACUGUACAAACCACAGUGACUAUGACACACCCACACAGGAAGACAGUGAACCUCAGUCUACAACAGCCCAGAUAUCCUGUUAUGGAAAUGUGCGCAACAGAAGUCCCUCUGUCCGUAAAGCACAGCGUCAUAAGAAAGAAACCAAAUGGCGACUUGUGCAUUCUUCGGGUAACAAUGACAAGGACACAGAUAAGGAAAUGAAUCCGUCGAACAGGAGAUGCUGGCCUGAGAGGACGUCAGAGAAGAUGCAGUCUGACUGGGCCAAGAUGAAAGAGCGUCUCUCUGCACUCAGACAAAAAUGUGAGAAGGAGGAGCAGACACUACAGAAAAAGAAGACUCAGUUGAAAGAUGUAGAGCUCUCCCUCUCUGAACUUCAACAGAGAAGAAAACAUGCCUUGCAGGAGUUAGAGCAACUGACUGUAGAAACAGCAAAGAUGGAGAAGGAGGGGACGACUCUGGACGUUAUUAGUGACAAGCUGCCCGAGCUGCAGAAGCAGAGCGAGUUCUGUAUUCUUGAGGUAAGAGACGUGAAAGGGGAGCUCACAACCUCGUGUCAAUGUAAACUGACUGUAAAGGAUGGAGCCUUCAUGCAGAGGCCCAGCAUCGUCAUGUCAGUGCUGGAGAGGGAGGAGAUGGAGAGGCAGCUGGAUAAUGCCAAAACAGAGCUGUUUGCUGAACAGCGACGUGCAAGAGAGAAGCUAGAAUCCAUGCAGGAAAAGUUGGAGGAAACUCGUGAGGAGCUCCAGAGGGUCACAGAGGCAGAGAGCUCACUGAGGAACAGGUGUGAUCAUCUGGAGGAGAAACAGAGGCAGAAAAAGGAUCAGAUGGAGGCAGCAGAGUUUCAAGUGCACGAGCUGCAGCAUGAACUGGGAGAAUGCAAGAUCAGAGUAGGCACUCAGGAGAAGAUGUUGGCCCAGAAGGAGCUGCAGCUGCUCGAUUUACAUGAGCAGCGUGAGGCCUUACAAGCAGAGAGAGAUGGACUGAAGAGGGAGCUGCAACACCUGAAAACCCAGCACUGCAAUGCACAGGAAGAAGCCCACAAGCAAGCCCGAAGAAUGACGGAGGUUGCAUUGAAGCAGCAAAAGAAAGAGUUAGCUUUGGCUCAUGAGCAGCAAAUUCAAAAGGUUCAUAAGCAGACUAAGGAGGAGAAAGCACACGCUUUGAGAGAACAAGCUCUGUCUCUCACACGGCACAUUGAGUCCUUGAAAAGUUCCAUUCAGCUAAAAGUAGAGGAGGCAAAGAAGCUGAAGGAUUCUCUGGAGCAGCAGAAGGAGGAGGCAAAGAACCGUGAAGAGGAGCUGCAUCUAGCAGCCACGAAGCAGUAUGCUACCAUUCAGGUGCACAAAGCAGUAGAGGAGGAGAGGAGGAAGUGGGAGGCAGAGAAGAUGGAAGCAGUGCAGGCACACUGUGGAAUACUUGAGGAGCAGAAUAGAAAGAGCCUGGAGAGCAUGAGGAGUGAGAUGCAGCGAGAGAAGAGUAAAGCACUGGCUUUUCAACAUAAAGCGGUGGAAUUAAAAACUAGAGUACAGGAGUUGGAGAGUGAAAGCUGUGUGCAGCAGAGAGAGCAGGAGUCUUUGCUGGCUGUUAUCUGCAAAUCACUAAAAGAGGAGCACCAGGCUGAGCUGGAGAAGUUGCAGAGACAGAUGGCACAGGAGAAUCAGAGAGCGGUGCUGCGGCUCCAACAGGCUGUUCAGCUGGCAGAGAAGGAAGCUGACAGACUCCAGGUGAUGCUAGACGAAAGAGAGAGCAGCCAUAACCAAAUUACAGCUGAGCUGGAACAGAAGCUCCGGCACUGGGCCCAGGAGCUGGGAGCAGAGUGCCAGCAACUACACCUCUUAGUGGAGCAGAGUGGAGCCAAACAAAGUUCUGUGCAGCUUCCUCACAGUCCUACAGCAGCUGAGGCUCUAACAAACCUGAGAACACUAAAAGAGCAGCUGAAGCACAUGACUAACCAUCUACAGCAGGAGCUCGACUCACAGAAACAAACCUCCGAGCAGCUGAGAAAGGACAAGGAGCGAGAACUGAGCAUCCAGAGGCAACAGCUGAGGAUGGACAGAGACCAGGCCUUGGAUUCUCUGAAGGAGCGUCUCAUUCAGGAGCACAUUGAGGAGCUGAGCAGUCUGAAUUGGCCUCACAUGUGUGAUGGAGGAGCUGAGGGAGGAGGAGUGGCAACAUCGCUUCGCAAACAGUUGAAGGCCAAAGACCUGGAGCUGAGGCAGGUUCAGAGGAGCAUGGCUCAGUGGAAGGAACAGACCGCCGCUCGUCUGGCAUGCAAGUUUGAAGAAGAGUUGACAGCUGAAAUGGAAAGGUGCAAGACAAAGUUAUUGAGGGGCAGAAAACCAUCAAAGUCUCGAGAGGAGAGGCAUAAAAAGCCUGAGAGGCCUGAAGCAGAGAUGACGCUUAGUGUAAAGGAAGCUCAGACUUUAGUCUGCUCUCCCUCCCCCCAUGUUUUGGACUCUGCUACGUCCCACAGCCCCUCAGACAUGGCUUCAUUCAAGCUUCUACGUUACCUCCAGAGCAGAGUCAAGCAGCUCCGUGUUGAAAACCAGGCGUACAUGUGUAGCCCAUUGUCUUCAAAUACAGUCUCUGUAGAUCUGUCAGGAUCAUAUCUUACAGCACACACUGGUUCCCAACCUGGAAGUCCCAACCCCCACUAGAGGUCGCCAAAGCUUCAAGAGGGGGUUGCGAGGCCUUCUCGAUUUUAAGGGAUCACUCAAGGUCAAGACAUUGCUGGGAUUCAGAGUCAAUCAUCACUGAGGACAGUGUCGAGUUAACUACAUGAAGCCCUACUGUGUGUGUUACAUACAGCAGUGAUGUAAUGCACCUCAAGCUAUUUUUGCGGCCACAGGAAUGAAUCAUUUACUGUUACAUGUGCUUAUGAUUGCAGAUUAACAAGCAGGUCACAGUGACAAAUGACACAACAGAGGAUUUGGUCAUUAAGUUUACAUUCCUCUGUGUCAAGGCAGUGAAACUUUAUGGCAUCAGGUUACAGUGAACUCUGAAUGAGUGAUGAACCAACAUUUCACAGAACAUCAUGUGAGUUAUGUCAGACAAUCUCAUAAAGCUGACGGGUCUUUGUGGGAAUCCCGUGUAUAAUCAUAAAUGUUACAAGAUGUUUAACUGCACAAUAAAGAUAUUCUGCAGAUCUCUGGCGAGUUCAAACUGAAUUAUGUCAUUAGCAUUUAAUGUAAUAUCUUAAUCACCUGAGAAAUGUCCUGAUCUUAAUGUAAAAUAAAUCACUGAGGAGUGAUACCAGAUUUUUUAAAAGAUGGCUCCCCUUUAAUCACAUGUGCUGUCACAAAGGCAGUCUGUUUGGUCUUUCCUGUGGUAUCAAAAAUAUUUUAGGGGGAAUACAGGAACAGCGCAGAUUCAUUUAACAUCUGCUUCAUAUACGAGGUCAGCACUGAGACACUCAGGAAGGAGCUUCUACCCUCAGGCUUCAAAGAUCCUAAAUAAAGACUGUGCUAAUGUU